AAAGUACUCCCUCCGUCCCAAAAUUCUUGUCUUAGAUUUUUCUAGAUACAGAUGUAUCAAGUCACAUUUUAGUAUUAGAUACAUCCGUAUCUAGACAAAUCUAAGACAAGAAAUUUGGGACAGAGGGAGUAGUUG
rnacentral:pre_miRNA from 1 species